AGAGCGAACGCUGGCGGCAGGCUUAACACAUGCAAGUCGAGCGGGCGUAGCAAUACGUCAGCGGCAGACGGGUGAGUAACGCGUGGGAACGUACCUUUUGGUUCGGAACAACCCAGGGAAACUUGGGCUAAUACCGGAUAAGCCCUUACGGGGAAAGAUUUAUCGCCGAAAGAUCGGCCCGCGUCUGAUUAGCUAGUUGGUGAGGUAAUGGCUCACCAAGGCGACGAUCAGUAGCUGGUCUGAGAGGAUGAUCAGCCACAUUGGGACUGAGACACGGCCCAAACUCCUACGGGAGGCAGCAGUGGGGAAUAUUGGACAAUGGGCGCAAGCCUGAUCCAGCCAUGCCGCGUGAGUGAUGAAGGCCCUAGGGUUGUAAAGCUCUUUUGUGCGGGAAGAUAAGUGACGGUACCGCAAGAAUAAGCCCGGCUAACUUCGCGCCAGCAGCCGC
rnacentral:rRNA from 1 species